rnacentral:rRNA from 1 species
GAAUAUUAGUCAAUGAUCGAAAGAUUGAUCUAGUUACUUAGAAAGAUGAAGAUUAUAAAAAAAAUUAAAAUAAAAAAUAAUAAUGAAGAAUAUAAAAUCAAUGUAUAUAUAAAAGAAUAAUGAUGAUUAUAUAUAUAGAAGUCUUAACCAAAAUUAGUGCCAGCAGUUGCGGCUAAACUAAGGAGGCAAACGUUAAUCAUUAAUGGCUUAAAGGAUCCGUAGAAUGAUAUAGUAAAAACCGUAUUAGAGUUAAAUUGAAUAAUUAUGAAAAAUUAUAUUGAGAGAUGAAAUGUGUGGAAAAUAAUUAGACAAAUAAACGUGAAGAUAAAAUUAAAGAUUUAACUGACAUUGAGGGAUGAAGGCAUGAGUAGCAAAACGGAUUAGAUACCCGAGUAGUUCAUGCAGUAAACGAUGAAUACCAUUUUUCAGAGAUGAAAAAAAAGCGAAAGCAAAAGUAUUCCGCCAGGAGAGUAUAGCUUCAAAGUAGAAAUCCAAGACAAUAGACGGUUACAGUUGUAGGCAGUGGAUUGUGUUAUUUAAU